CCUACGGGUGGCAGCAGUGAGGAAUAUUGGUCAAUGGACGAGAGUCUGAACCAGCCAAGUAGCGUGAAGGAUGACUGCCCUAUGUGUUGUAAACUUCUUUUAUAUGGGAAUAAAACGUUCCACGUGUGGGAUUUUGUAUGUACCAUAUGAAUAAGGAUCGGCUAACUCCGUGCCAGCAGCCGCGGUAAUACGGAGGAUCCGAGCGUUAUCCGGAUUUAUUGGGUUUAAAGGGCGCGUAGGUGGAUUGUUAAGUCAGUUGUGAAAGUUUGCGGCUCAACCGUAAAAUUGCAGUUGAAACUGGCAGUCUUGAGUACAGUAGAGGUGGGCGGAAUUCGUGGUGUAGCGGUGAAAUGCUUAGAUAUCACGAAGAACUCCGAUUGCGAAGGCAGUUCACUGGACUGCAACUGACACUGAGGCUCGAAAGUGUGGGUAUCAAACAGGAUUAGAUACCCGUGUAGUC
rnacentral:rRNA from 1 species